UACGGAGGGGGCUAGCGUUGUUCGGAAUUACUGGGCGUAAAGCGCACGUAGGCGGACUGUUAAGUCGGGGGUGAAAUCCUGGGGCUCAACCUCAGAAUUGCCUCCGAUACUGGCAGUCUCGAGUGCGGGAGAGGUGAGUGGAAUUCCCAGUGUAGAGGUGAAAUGCGUAGAUAUUGGGAAGAACACCGGUGGCGAAAGCGCGCGACUGGACCUGAACUGACACUGAGGGACGAAAGCUAGGGGAGCGAAAGGG
rnacentral:rRNA from 1 species